UUUACUGUUUUUUUUUUACAAUUUGCUUUCAUUCUGCUACUGUUUCUAUUGCUAUUUCUGUGUCUGUCUCUUUUUUUGCCUUGUUUGCAGGUCUUGGCGAGGUUAAUGGAGAUGACAGGACUCAAGUCUUGCCAUUUUGGUGCAAGGUUGUCAGUCCUCGGGCGGUGGGCGCACUGCGGAGGCACAUGGGUGGCAGUGAAGGUGCGACGUAUUAGGGUUUCUGGGGGCUAGGUUUUUCUUUGAUUUUACUGAAAAUGUUUAAGUGUUGGGCUAUGGUUGAUUUGGGUUUUGGCCGUUUGAGCCUGUUGAAAAUGGACUGGACUAUUAAUUUUUAUCUUUGUUUUGUUUUUUUGGUUUAUUUUCUGUUUUUUGAUUUUCUAGCGGGUCGGGCAAAUUUAGGCCUCUACAGUUGCCCCUCUUUGCUCAUUGUCGUGUAACAAGAAUGGAGCAAAGACCUUAAGGAGAACCAAUUUUGCCUGGUCUUGUCGAAUCUUGACUUCUUGGUG
rnacentral:lncRNA from 1 species